rnacentral:rRNA from 1 species
AUACGGAGGAUCCGAGCGUUAUCCGGAUUUAUUGGGUUUAAAGGGUGCUCAGGCGGGGGAUUAAGUCGGCGGUGAAAUUUUGCAGCUCAACUGUAAAAGUGCCUUCGAAACUGGUUUCCUUGAGUGUGGAUGAGGUAGGCGGAAUUUGUGGUGUAGCGGUGAAAUGCAUAGAUAUCACGAGGAACUCCGAUUGCGCAGGCAGCUUACUAAACCAUAACUGACGCUCAAGCACGAAGGCGUGGGGAUCAAACAGGAUUAGAUACCCUGGUAGUCCACGCAGUAAACGAUGAUUACUGGCUGUUUGCGAUAUAAUGUAAGCGGCUGAGCGAAAGCGUUAAAUAAUCCACCUGGGGAGUACGUUCGCAAGAAUGAA